rnacentral:rRNA from 1 species
UAGGGAAUCUUGCACAAUGGAGGAAACUCUGAUGCAGCGACGCCGCGUGAGUGAUGAAGGACUUCGGUUUGUAAAACUCUGUUGUCUGGGGCAAAAAAAAUGAUGGUACCAGACGAGAAAGGGACGGCUAACUUCGUGCCAGCAGCCGCGGUAAUACGAAGGUCCCAAGCGUUGCUCGGAAUCAUUGGGCGUAAAGCGGGCGUAGGUGGCUCCAAAAGUCAGUUGUGAAAGCCCAGGGCUUAACCCUGGAAGUGCUUCUGAUACUGUGGAGCUUGAGUGUGGGAGAGGAUGCUAGAAUACCUAGUGUAGUGGUGAAAUACGUAGAUAUUAGGUGGAACACCGGUGGGGAAGCCGGGCAUCUGGCCCAACACUGACACUGAGGCCCGAAAGCGUGGGGAUC